rnacentral:lncRNA from 1 species
GCUGAGGAUGUUUACAUGGCUCAGCCAGAGGGGUUUGUGGAUCCGAAGCAUCCGAAUAGAGUGUGUAAGCUUGAGAAGUCCAUUUAUGGACUUAAGCAAGCGUCUCGCAGAUGGAAUCUUUGUUUCGAUGAGAAAGUCAAAGAGUUUGGAUUUGUACGAAGCGAAGAUGAAUCUUGUGUAUAUGUCAAAGCCAGUGGGAGUAUAGUAAGCUUCCUCGUUCUAUAUGUCGAUGACAUAUUACUCAUAGGAAACGACAUCCCGACUUUGCAGGAGGUUAAGUCCUGGCUCGGGAAGUGCUUCGCUAUGAAGGACCUCGGAGAAGCUUCUUACAUUUUGGGAAUAAGGAUAGUAAGAGAAAGAAGUAAGAGACUAAUUGGACUUAGUCAGAAUACUUACUUAGAGAAGGUACUAAAACGUUUUAGUAUGGAAAACUCAAAGAAGGGAGAAUUACCGAUACAAAGUAAUGCCAAGUUGAGUAAGACUCAAAGUCCGAGUACCGAAGCUGAAAUAGCAGAAAUGAGCCGAGUACCAUACGCUUCCGCAGUUGGCUCAAUCAUGUAUGCUAUGACUUGUACUCGCCCUGAUGUAGCCUUUGCUUUGAGCAUGGUUAGUAGAUAUCAAGGGAACCCUGGCAGAGCCCAUUGGAUUGCGGUCAAGAAUAUCCUUAAGUACCUUCGGAGGACGAAGGAAUGGUUCUUAGUCCUCGGAGGGAGUGAUGACUUGAAGGUGCGAGGGUAUAGUGACGCCAGCUUUCAAACCGACAGGGACAACUACCGUUCGCAGUCGGGCUGGGUCUUUACCCUGAAUGGAGGAGCAGUGACUUGGAAAAGUUCCAAGCAGGAAACCGUAGCUGAUUCAACGUGCGAAUCAGAGUACAUUGCAGCGAGCGAAGCGUCGAAGGAGGCAAUAUGGUUGAAGAACUUCAUCGGUGAUCUUGGAGUUGUACCUACCAUAAAGGAGCCCAUGGAGAUUUUCUGUGAUAAUGAAGGAGCGGUUGCCUUGACCAAGGAACCGAGGGAUCAUGGUAGAUCUCGACAUAUCGACAGAAAAUAUCACUUUAUUAGACAUUGUGUAGAAGAAGGACAACUCAUAGUGAAGAGGAUAUCAUCAGAAGAUAACCCAACAGAUCCGCUUAUGAAGGGGCUGAGUAGGGUUAGGCACUUGCAGCAUGCUAGGAGUAUCGGGCUGAAGGAUGAUAUUAGUAUAGAUUAGAUAGUAUUGAAAACGUGUAAUAGAUAAAUGUAAUUAACAUUUGAUGAUUAAAUAAAAGAGUAUUAUUUAUGAGUAAUGUUACUGUCUUAUGUUAAUCAUUUAACUAUAGUUUCACUUUGCAUGUUUUGACUUCCAGAAUAAUUGAAUAUUAUUGAGAAUAAUUGAAUUAUUCAAAUAGUCCACAAUCGUUCAUAUUUUGGAAGUAGAUAUGAAUGAAGAUUGUCAUGAAUUGGUAUGUAGAUUAUCUAAAUGGUAUUAGACAUAGCAAAAGUUUACUGCAACGUUCAUGAGUGCUUAUGAACUAGUUUUGAGCAUUGGAACAAACCCGCUCUUGCUGGAAUCCCCUUAUGGAAUAUGAUAAAAAGGAUGAUCGCAAGACGAUAAUAUCAUAUGGUCUUAAAACCUAGAUAUGUGGUUUGUUAUUUGUUAAUUGGUUGUACAUUGAUAAUGCGAAACCGCAUCAGUAACUUGAUGUUAUAAAAUGCAUUGUUGUGUAUAGUUGGUUAAUGAAUAAGUAAAUGCAUAUAAGUCGAAGUUUAUCUGUUACUUUUAUCCUAAGAGGUUAAAAGCGAUAUCUCGGCCGCUCGAUGAUUUGAUUUGACUUAUGUGCCAGGCCCGGUCAGAACUGAAUUGAUGUGUUUGAUUAAGUUCUAUGUCAAAUAAAUCUGAAAUCGAGAAACCAAAUGCUAAACAAAAAAAUUGAUUCCAUAAAAUUGUCAGCAUGAUAUCUAAACAGAGGACUGUACGAUCCCUUAUCUAAAGGACAAGAUUGAUUAGAUCAGAGUUUGACAGCGUCUUUGAGAGCUACGAUUGCUAAUCGGAAUAUACUUUUAUAUAUAGUUACUAGACUUAUCCAAGUGGGAGACUGUUAGAAUAGUGUCUAAGGCUACAACUAUAUUUGGCAAGUAUUUGACUCGGUUGUGCAUGGUCCUUUUGGGUUGCCUUCACCAUAGCAAGUUGAAAGGAUGAUUUAUAAUGAGAGAAGGAAUAUUAUUAAUAUAUUAAGGCUUAUGUUAUCCAAGUAGGGUUUAAGGGUGAAACCCUAGGAGCCUUACAAGUAUAAAUAGACCUCUAGGGUUGAGGAAUUCGGUACACUCUUGUCUCUAAAGAAUCCCUAGCUGAAAUUCUUCCUCUCUCCUCUCUCCUAAAUCAUCUUCUUGCUAGUUGGUGUUUGUAAGCCAUUAGAGGAGUGACAAUUGUGACUCUAAAGCCUCAAGGACAACAAGAUCAAGCAAGUGAUUCAAGGUAAAUUUCUAAUCUCUGAUUUAAUAUUUUUAUUAUUGUAUAUUAGCCAUUAGAAGUCUUGGAUUCAAUGAAUGUUCAAUUAGAGAAACCUAGAUCCAAGCAUUAGGGUUGCAUGUGCACAUAGGAAUGUUCAUAUGGCUAAAACCCAUCAGAUUGGGCCAGGCAUGAGUGUUCGUGUUUAUUAGUGGAUUGAUUAUGUAUGAUAUUUUGGGAGCUGAAGGACGCUUUAUCUUAUCAACACAAAGGGUUUGUUUUUGGAAGAGGGAAAGUUGGGUUUCCGAUACUUUGGAUCAUUAGGAUUUUUGUCAGGUUGGCGAAGUGGCAUGUAGGUUAGACGUUUUGAAAACGUUCGGUUAGAUUCACAUCGCUUUUCAUGUUGGGCAGCUGAAAAGGCGCCUAUUGGAUGAGUAAGCGGUUGUAUUGUUGGGUGAUGUUCAGGUCGGAGAGAACUUGAACUAUGUAGGGAGACCGGUGGCAACAUCAGAAAGGAUCCGAUUAGACUUGGGAGCCAGAGUCCAAGAUGCGGGAACAUUAUCCUGAAUUGAUCCCCGCAGCAGGCUUCGAGGACGAAGACUAGUUAAGUGGAGGAGAGUUGUAACAUCCCAAGUUUUGCCAUUUAUAGUCCCUAAGGAUGGAAGGGUAAAGCUAUGAAAAGCCUAAGGGCUAAAUUGCAAUUUUGGGAUCAGGAGGAGUACGUUGCGCAUACAUAAGGGUACGUUGAGCGUACUAGGCGCGCCCUAGUACGCUGGGCGUACUCAUGACAGAAGGAAACCCUAAUAUUUAGGGUUUGGGGGCUAUAUAAGCAACAUUAUGUGGACAAAACCCUCCCUUACCCUAGCCUCCACUGCUUAGAAUCGUUUUCCCUAAACCCUAGCCAUUUCCUUAAGUGUUUGAGCUUUUUGAGUGUUUCUUGAGUGUUUUAAGAAGAAGGUGUUGCAUCAAGGAGUUGGAGAAGAAGAGAAAACUUGUAGAUUUGAAGUUGGUUUGUGCCCUAGAAGCUCCAGAAGGUAAAAAGUUUGGAACUUUAUACUUGUAUGAGAUAGAUAUAGUCAUUUUAGCUUUAUGGAAGUAUUCUUGUCCCAAAAGUCCCAAAAUGGUCCAUGUUAUGAUUUGGACGAAUUGAGUUGUCCUUUCAGACCUUAGAAGAGGUCCUAAGUGAUAAAAAUUUUGUCCCAAUAGCUACAUUUUUCUCAUGCAUGAAGUAGGAAGGUCUUAAUGGAUUAAGACCAUGUGUUAAGAACAUUCUGGACGUCCAAAGUGAUAAAGUUCGAGACUUUAUAGCCCUAUGGCACAUUUGGUCGAUGGAUCUGGACUUUGGGCUUAAGUGCUGAAGCCAUUAAGCACUUAUUAGGGUUUUGGUGAAACCCCAUGUACGCCUAGUGUAAAUUCAAUACACCCAGCAUACUAGGUCAACCACCCUGAUGGUGGUCAACAUUUGGACGAGUACGCCCCGCAUAUGUCCUAUGUCGGGCCUUUGGCAAUUGGUCUUCGGGUUUUGGAUUGUUUAUGGACUAGUUGGAUUUGGGCUUUUGUUGGACUUUAUGAAUAUUAUCUUUUGGGCCAAGUUUUGAUAAUGGAUCUUGGAAUUAGACCCAAUUUGGUAAAUUGGGCCAAUAAUGGGCUUUGCAUAAGGACUUUCAAGGUUCUGGACUUGGUGUUGGGCCUUAGCCCAAUAAAGAGAAUGGACAUGAUGGAUUGUGUGGAUCCUUAGUCAAGAUUGUUAUGUUGUGUAAUGACUUGGUAUUUAUUAUGUGAUAGUUUGGGAUUUCCGGUAAGAUAGCGAUUUGAGGUUUUCGAUACUUCGGCACUACUUGUGAGGUGAGUUAUCCUCAUUAUAUCAACAAGGUCUAAGGCACCAAGGCUAGCCCUUUAUCGGAUUUGUAUCCGGGUAUUUGUUUGAUAUGUUUAUUGAUCUACUAGAUAUGCAUCCUGGUAGUUAGGAUGGUAUUAUGUUAGUGACCUGGUUUAGGUUGGUAUCCUAGUAUAAAGGAUAAUGUUAUGUUAGUGACCUGUUUUAGGUCGGUAUCCUGGUAUAAAGGAUAAUGUUAUGUUAGUGACUAGUUAGGUCGGUAUCCUGGUUAUAGGAUGGUUGUUGGGUUAGUGAUUUGUUAGAUCGGUAUGAUUAUCUUUUAUAUACAUGCUAUCAUAUGAUAUUUAUGUUUACAUGAUUGUUUGAUUGGUAUGGUGGUUGGUUUGAGGCCGGUCUUGCUUUGUGCUGUAGGCCACCAUACCCAGGGCGAUCCAGAUAGACUGCAGGCCAACAUAUCAAGGGUGGACCGGAUAGAAUGCAGGCCCAGGAGGGCACAUAGUCAGGUCGAAGGCCCGACGAGCGGUCCGGAUAGGCUGAAGGCCCCAAGAGGGCUGUCCAGACGUGCUGAGGCUCGGAGAGUGGGCCAGAUAGACUGAAAGCCUAGUGUGGGCGGUCCAGUCAUACUGUAGACUCAAAGAGUGGAUCAGGUGGACUGAAGGCCCUGUGUGGGUGGACCAGUCACACUGUAGACUCGGAAUGCAUGGCUGUUCUGUGUUUGUUAUAAGAUAUGUUUAUGGUUGUAUGAGGUUGGUAUUUUGGGGGUAACUCACUAAGCCUUCGAGCUUACAUUUAUCGAUUAUUGUUUCAGGUGUAGCGGAUGACCACGGGAAGGUGAAGGCGUGACUGUACACUUCCUCGAUUUACGAUUAUGAUUUCUGGGAACUCUGAUGUUUAAACUAUUUUGAAAACAAAUUGUAAUAACUGAAUGGUUUUAAAUGAUUUAAAAAGUUUUAUAUUGGCUUGAUUUUUAUGGAUGUUACAGGAAUUCGAAUGAGAAUUCCAGUCCGAGAUUCUGGGCUCUGACGCUGCAAUAACUUUAUCCUGAGAGAAUUGAAUUUGUCACAACUAGAAAUUUCAUGUCAAACCAAGCCCAAUGGUCUUGUAUAUGCAAGUGUUUUAGCUAUGAUACAACUAUGAUAUAUGAUUUAAGUUCAUAUUUUCUCUAAUCCCUAAUGAUUUUUGCAAAUCAAAUAAGGAUCACUUAAUAUGGACAUAAGGACUUGUGUUAUGUUGCAUCCUUAAACACUUGAACUAUAAGGACAACAUAUUUGAUUUUUUUCCAUUAACUAAGACCAUAAACCCUUCUAUUAGGGCCAUGCUGUCCGUAAACACCUCUAAGGGCCCAUGUUUUGGCCUUAAACUACUUUAAGGACCAAAGGUGGCCAUGAACACCUUAAAGAAUCCAAACCUUGGCCAUGAACACCAUUCUAGGCAACACCUAGGGCGUAAACACCUUAAAGAAACCAAACCUUGGUCGUAAACACCACCCUAGGCAACAUCUAAGGCGUAAACCACCUUAUUGAACCACAUUAGGAGCGUAAAAACCUAAAGGAACCACAUUAGGGGCGUGAACUACCUUAGGGACCCAUACUUGGGCAUAAACACCUUGUACUUGCUACCAUCAAUAAGAAAGCUUUAUCCAUCAGUAAUCCAAGCAAAUAUCAAAUCAUCUCCUUAUCCCUUAUGAUGAACGUAAAACCCCACUCCCCAUUUCACCAAACUUAUUUUCACUUUAUGAGAAGUCCGUGAACACUCUCAAAGAAUUCAAGCCAAGUUCCAGGAGCCUUAUUCCUUCACAAACUCUUCUAAAUUCUUGUAAGUAUUUCAUGCCUAGCUAGAGAUUUUACACAUUACUUUGUUGAAAUCCUUAUUGUUUACACAUAGUGUUAUAUUAUAACAACUCCAAGGUGUCAUAAUCUUCACAAGUUCAUUAAACACUUCAAGUGUUUAGGAUCAAAACUCUUCUCUCAUCACUUCAAAUACCCCCUUCAACUACCAAAGGUGAGCUUCAUACCCCCAUUUUCAAGUUUUUCUUCUUUUAGGGGAGAAUACAAGUCAAAGUCUUGUGUUAAUCUUGUCUAGUUGCUUGUAUAUGCAUAUUGUAUGUGUUAUAUGUUGUGAAUCUCAUGCAAAAAUUCCAAAAACUCGAGAUUUAUGGUUAGAUCUCAAGAAGUUGGAUUUAGUUAACAUAAUUUGUGGAUUAAAAUGAAAACUAGCUCCUCAAGGUAAUUUGUUUCUAUUGAUGUUUGGUAGAAAUCACAAAGAUUAACCCAAGAAUAUGUUUUAACAAAUUUUCUACAAGAAAACAUGAAAGAUGAUGAAAUAUGGAAAAUUUUCAUUAACAAGGGGCCAUUUUUGAACAUUUGGUAAUAAUGGGCCAAAAUGGUCAUUUUUGAUAUAAAUGGGCUUUUUAUGUCACUUUCUGUAAUUUUUGACUAAAAUUGAAUUUUUAGUAAAAACGAACAAUUUAUGACAUUUCUAAAUUAAAGGACCGAAAAUGAAACAUAUAACAAGUUUGGGCCAUUUAUGGCAUUUUUGGAUAACUAUAGGCCUUAAUUGAUAUUUCAUAUAAAGUUGGGUCAUUUCUUUGUCAUUUUCAGAAAUUUUGGACCAUCUUUGACAAUAUGAUUAAAAAUGGGUUCUCCUUAGCAUGCGUGAUAAAAAUGAAAUAUCUUGGCAACACACACAACUAACGUUAUUUAUAAUAUUAAACAACGGCAUCAACUAUUUGCGUAAAUUUCUGUUAGGAUUCUGGUGAGACGCAUCUUUAGUCGUAGCUACCUAGUGUACGUGGUAAGUCCUAUUAGUUAUAACCAGAGUUUCCUGGAGGGAGAGUGGGAGUUUAUGUAUAGAUCUAUAUGGGGUUGACAUCCUACACCUAAGCUGUUCGUUACAGCUAGACUAGGCCAGUCUAGGGUGACAAAUAUCUUUCAACAAAAUUGACGAAUGGAAAACGACAAGUCAGGCACUCCGUCAUAUUAGUAUGGUUAUAAUGACUCACUUAGAAUCUAAAAAUUUACAUGAAACACAUAUUUAAAUUGUAACCAACUACAGGUUGAAUACUUUAAACACAAUUUCACCACGCAGGUCUUAGGGUUUUAAGACCAUAACUUUCGUAUAUCAGAAAAUAUAGGAGUUUCUGUGGAACUCACAAACAAGAAUAAACAAGAACACACUUGCAACUAUACAUGAUUUGAAAAACAAGAAUAUCACAAACUAUUUUGCUUUACAAGAAAUAUUGGAUUUUCUGGGGUUUUAACUACCACAAAGAUUUUCAUUUAAACAUACUUAUGAACUCACCAACAUUUUAUAUGUUGACGCUUUUCAAAAUAGCAUGUAUUCUAAUGAACUCACUAAGCAGGUUGGCAGCGUUGGACUUUUGGCAUUUGUUAUAUUUUAUUUCCACCAUGCACAUUGUUAUUUUGGGAUAUAAUUUUUGCAAACAAACACAAUACUGUGAACCAUGUAUGUUGAAAUCCUUAAUGUAUGAUGAUGAUGAUGAUGGCUAUGUUUCAUUUAUAUACACUAAUAUGAUAUUACAAGAUGAAGUCAUUCACCUCCGGACGUUUCCGCCGUUCCGGUUCGGGGGUGUGACAGAAUCCAUUCCUCUCAACUCGGACAUCAAAGAGUUAUAUUGUUCCUUUAAAGCUAUAAAGACUUGUAGGUUAAACCAAUCCGCUUUCGGACAUAUUAGACAUUUUCCAGUACACAUGGUAGCCAUAGUUCCAUUUGACUCACCAAAGGCAAUGAAUCCUCUCAAAAGGAUUCACAGAUUGGCAUUCGAUAUGACUUUGGAUCUCAGCCUACCCCUCCCAUCCACUCUUCCAAACCACCCUUCAGAGUUUCAAUAUAACAUGCACACUCUCACGGGGAGUCUGCAGAUAAUCUACCCCCAUAUUCUUAGAAAGAUGAUGAAGGUAUAGAACAAAGUACCUUGAAGCACCCUGGGACACACCCACGAGUCAUUUUAGAAAUCCCUCUCGGUUCAACAUAAGCACAAUAAUGGGCACUUGUUUUUGAUUCCAAGCUUUCUGAAGCUAGAGUAGUCCCUCCUGCUUCGAAAGCCACAACUAGUCUGAUACAUGGUUCAGGUAAAGGACGAUCAAGUAUUUUUGAUAACGAUUGGUCUAAUUUUGUAGAUAGGGAUCAGUCUUGACAUCGGAAGCUUACUAGAGAUCAGGUUGAAUACAUGCUUAUUUCUAAGCGUCAACGUGCUCUCCGAAUUCGUCUUCCUUUCACGUUUCCAUCUGAUGAAAAAACUAAUCGGGCUUUCAAGCCUUCCAACGAAACCCUGAAGACUACUUCUAUAGGAUAUGUUCCUGACUCUACAAAUUUUUUGAAUGAUCCUCCUCCAAAGUUCACAAAUAAAGAAGCCUCAUGCUUCCUACUAACAAUGAUCUCUCCAAUGAGGUCAUGUUCGAAGAUGACAACACAAAAGUUGGUUCUAUUCUGAUCCCUAAUUCUUUCAACAUACUAAUUCCUAAUUCUUUCAACAUACUACAGAAGCCAUCCUCCUCGAAACCGUUUUAUGAUUUCGGUCUCUCCUCCUCCUCCUCGGAAUCCAAAAGAGAAGAAGAUAUUGAAUCCAACAAGCAUUCUUCUCCCAAAGUUACCUUGGAAAGCGAUGAAGGUAAUGAGGCUCAAGCUAAUCCAGUAGACAACUCCAUGCCUUCCAAACCGCAUAAUGAUGCCAACAAUGAUGAUGAGAAAACAUAUGAGAGUUCUACCUCGGACACAGGAUCUUCAAGUGAAAAUAUUGAAAAUCCUUUUGCCUUGUUAGAAAUCCGAGACAAUGUUGCCUUAGCUAUCUCCAAAGUUGAUUCCCUUGACAAGAAAGUCGCAGGCCUUGAUUUGAAGCUUGAUCAAAAGUUUACAGGUCUUGAUGCCAAGUUAUAACUUAUCUGUAAAUCUCUUUCCAAGAUCCAAGCUGCUGCUCCCUCGGAAAUUGACUGAGCCAAUAAUCUCGACCAACUCAUUUCCCUUCGCCUCAUGUACACAAUCAAAUAAGUUGAAAAAAAAUACAAUGAUAGUCUUGACCAUCAUAUUUCUACAACCACCAUCAUGCUCAAGAUUCAUGACUACAUGAUUAAUGCUACCAACAAACUCAUCAAGCAGACUCAUGUUUGUCAUGAGAAACAAAUUUAAUUUCUUGAAAAGGAGAUUUGUAAAAAGGAUGCAAUGAACAUGGUAAUGAAAAAGGUGCUAAUCAAGCUUAUUCUUGCAACUUGGAAUGUUGUGGAUGUUCCGAACAACAAGUUCGAUGAGAUGCUCGUUAGUUUGGAUGAAACAUUUACCCAUCUCAAAGCUCAAGCUCCUAAAACCGAGGCAUACGAUGCUUUCACCAAACAACUCAACACAAGUAUUCAACUAGUGUUUGAAAUAUUGGAGGGCCUCAAGAUUGGAUCCGUACUUGCAUCGGAGGGAGGGUCUUCCCAUGCAAGAGGGGGAGAAAGAGAAACAAAAAUUCAAUUGAAACCUGUCUCAGAUUUCAUGCUCCGAGAUGAAUCAAAUGAUGAUGAAAUUCUCGAGGUUGAAACUCUUGAACCUCUUGAAACAAAUGAUGAAGAAUAUGAAGACUUAACGAAAAAUGUCAUCAUAGGACUUCAAGCCACCAGGGAACAACUUGUGCGUGUCCUUUUGGAAGCAGAUAAGAUGAAGUGGUCCUCGGUUUCUUGGCCAUCAUAUCUAGCAGAAGAGUUGAAAUGAAGUCGUGAGAUGGCAAAGAUCAAGACUGAGAUUAUAAUUGAUGCAUUUCGAGCUACCCAGUCCAUGCUUCCACCAAUUCCUGCUCCAAGGAUCAUUCAAAUUGAUGAAGGUUCUCCUACCCAGGAACCUGAUGAUAUUCCUAAAGAGACUUUGAUUCCUAUUCCAUCAGAAAUUUUCAUCAUUGAUUUUGGUCAUCAAAUCAUCUCCUCCAUUUCAGGCACAAGUGAAAAUCCUCAAAAUAAAGGCAAAUAGGUUGCAAUAGAUUCGGAUAGCCAGGUGAGGACAUUUAGAAAGUUUGAGGGCUAGUUUCAGGAACAGAUGAAUCAAGCUUUGGAAGAAAGCAUUCAGAUUCAAGCGCUUAAAGACAACCUGAAUAUGAUGUUGGGCAUUUCUCCUCUUUUCCGAGAAGGAGUUAUUCAUGAUAUACACUUUGUGACCUUCAUGUACUAUGAUCUUCUGACACAAGAUGCUGACCAACUUGACUUGCCAAUCUCUCUACAUGGUCAUUUCUAUAUCAAGUACGCUCCUUUACAUCCAAAUGAUGAUCCUCAAAUCAUCAUCGAAAUUUAGCGUGAGAGAUUGAGAACCUUUUACCCUGUCAAUGCACGACCUCAAACGGAUGUUUGGUCUCGGAAGAGAAUUACCAAGAUCAUUGGAUAUGGUAACAAGUUUUGGAUCAAGUAAGGUCUUAAUUGAAUGAUGUACAUAUACUAUGUUUCUCAGAAUAAAGAAUCCACCAUCACCAUUACAGAUGCAAAUUUUCCUUCGAUCAACCCAAACGACAUUCUCACUUUAGCUGCUCACUUACGAGAUUGACAAAAAGUGAAUCAAGCAUUGGAGCCUACAAUGCUACAAUAAGCUUCCUGAAGGACUAUGUCACACCCCCAAACCAGAACAACGGAAACAUCUAGGGGUGGAUGGAGUGACUUCAUGUACAGUAUCAUAACAAUUGAAUAUAAUUGAAACAUAGCAACACAAACAUUCAUACAUUGAGGAUUCAAGUUUACAUUGUUUACAAAUCUUUGCUUGUUCAAAAGUUAAAUACAAGUAACUGAAAAAUAGAAAACAAGAAGUGGCGACGCCGACCCUCAUGAAGGGUUGAAUACAUGUCUACUGGUUUUCUGAGAAUACAAGUCAUUUUGAAAAGUGUCAAUGAUUAAGUUGGUGAGUUCAUAAGCAUUUUUGUGUGAGAAGGAUUUGCAACAUUUUCGUGUAAAAUGAUUUUUGUAUACUUUUAGAAAAUCCAAUGUUUUCUUAAAUAUAAUGUAUGUAUUUCCUUCAUAUAAUGUAUAUUUCCAGAAAAUCCAAUGUUUUCUUAAAUAUAAACUGUAGAUGUAUGUAUUUCCUUUGUAUAUUUUUCUUGUAAAAUGAUAAUGUAUGUCUCCAGAAAAUCCAAUAUUUUCUUAAAUGUGAACUGUAGUCUUAAACCCUAAGAACAUAAUGUAUAAGUAUUGAUGUACUGAACAAUAGUAUGUAGUUAUAUCUUUUUAUAAAACUAAUGAAGUGUAAGUUACCCCGUAAACCGAGUAGUAGCGCUAAUCCCUAUGUGAGCUAUUAUAACCAUACUUAAUACAACUAGUGGCCUGUACGACAUUCUUCAGGCAUCAAAGCUGAUAGACAUUUGCCACCCUAGACUUCCGGUCUAACUGUAACGAACAUCUUAGGUGCGGGGUUGUCAAUCCCGUAUAGAUCUAUACACAACGGUCUCACUCUCCCUCCAGGAGACUCUGGUUAUAAUGCAUGACUUAAGGUGUACUUUAGGUAAUGUACGUGAAGAGAGUGUGUCUCACAGGAGCAUUAACUGAUUUACGUGAACUAUGACUCAUUUUUCUUGUAAACCGAAAUAAUUAUAUCUUUGAAUAAUUAUAUGUAUCUUCUGAAAUGAAAGUAUGGUUUGUGACUUCUAAACUAUACCAAUUAUAGUUUAUCUUGUUUGUUUGAAACUAUUUAUAUAAUCUUUUAUAUAAAUAUGAAUGUGUAUUCUUGUCUAGUAUUAAAAUAUAAUAUCAAAACAUAAUAUCUUUGGGUUGUAACCCACCAAUUUAGUAAAUGAUUGUAAUGUAACCAUUUUUGCUAGAAAAGCUAUCUUUUAAUAAAAGUUUUCAAAAACCAUGGAGUCUUACAAGUCAAAAUUUUUUCUUAUGAUUUUAUAAAAUAGAUCAUGUUUGUUUUGUUAGCUUUGUAAUUCAAACUAAUAUAUAUCACAAUAAUUAUACAAAAACUAGUAUUAACCACAUGUUAUGCAAUUUUUUUUAUCUUUAACAUCAGAUGAAAUCAUGUAAAAAGUGUGAUAAACAAAAUUUUACUUGUAUCCCUCCCCCUCUUAAAACAUGAAAAAGCUUGAAAAUGUGUGUGUGUGUGUGGGGGGGGGGGGGGUAUGAACUCACCUUGAGUGGUUUUGUGGGUUAUUUGAGAAGAUGGUGUGAAGGUUUCCAAGCCUUACACUUGAAGGUGGUGGUUGAAAUUUCUUCACAAGAAUGCUAUCCUAAGAGUUUAACAUAUAAUAAUAUGUGGGUAAAUAUAAUGAAACUAACAUAAAUGUGUAUAAAUACACUAGAUUUGAAGGAAUACUUACCAAAUCUACGAAUGCACUUGAAGAUCUUUGAACUUAGAGGUUGGACUUGGUUAUUUGAGAGGAAAUGAUAUUAAUCAGUAAUUGAGGAUGGAAAAUGGUGGAGUUUGGGGUAUGAGUUGGAACUUAAGAUAAGGUGGUACAUGAUGGGAUGCUUACUUUGAUAACUGUGGGAUAAUAGCUUGGAAGUUCGUUGGGUAUUAGUCUACAUGUUAAACUGUUAAAAUAUAUUAUCACAAAAGUCAACUAUUCUUGUCUGUUUCCUUACCUAGACCGAAAUCACAUUUUGUAAGAGAUUAUAGGGAUGAUUUUGGCCAAAGUAAUGUCCCAUUAAGGGUGAUUUCGUGCAAAGUGUGGCCCAUUAAGGUGAUUUCGGUCCUAGGCUAUUACAUUGUUGUGUUUUCGGUCCUACCUUCUUACCAAAUGGUUAUUUCAGUUUAGAGGUCACCCACUAAGGGGUGAUUUCGGUAUUGGGGGUAUUUUGUUAAUGUGUGGUUUUGUUUAUGAUUUGUUGAUUUUCAAGGUUAAUUACGACAUGGUUUCCCAAGUGUGUGUGUAUAUAUAUAUANAUUAAUUUAUACAAUAAUUCCCUCUUUGUUUGUAAUAUUUUAUUGCAACAAACUACAUUGUGCUUGAACAUGGUUACAAGUUAGACCUUGCUUGAUCUAAAUUUUCAGGUUGUCACAUCUUCCUCCUGUUAGAGGGAAUUUCGUCCCGAAAUUCAUAUCUUGAACAAGUUCUUGGUAGCCCUAGGGAAAGGUUGUGGGUAAUUCUGUUUCAUAUGAUUCUCAUGUUCCCAGGUGAAUGUGGGUCCUUGCUUGACACUCCAGUGGUGUGACAACCCGAUACUUUUGUUGGAUUAGUGUCUAAGUCCAUAACUAUAACUGGUAUGUACUUGACCCGAUUUGGCAUGGUCCAUUUGGGUUGCAUGGCAUUGGAACAAUUGGAUAUACAAAAUGAGAAAAAUGAUACUUAUGAUUUAUAUUAAUAUAUUAUAAGUUCUAAUAUAUUAAUAUGAAAUCACAUUAUUUAAUUAGUAUUGAUCAAUAAUUAUUUUAGUGAUCAAAAGGAACUAAUUAAGUAUGGACUCUUAUAUAUAUAUAGGAUGAGCCAAGUUCAUUUAGGUUGGGCUAAGCUUUCAUGGAUAGUCCAUGGAGUGUUUAACCCAUGGAUCCUAUGGAAAUGAAAGGUCAUGGGUAUUAGGGUUUACAUGAAUGUAACCCUAAUCCUCCAUACUAUAUAAAGAGAUCUAUGGUUCAUGAAAUGAGUGCUAAGCACUAGUAUGUGUGCACAAGAGGGCAAAACCGAUUUUGGUGCAAGUAUCCUUCUUCUCAAGUUAUUCCAAGGGUUCUUGGUGUUGUGUGAACCAUUUGAGGUGCAACACUUGGGGCGCUAGGCUCUUAAAGGUUCAAGACUUCAAGCUCAAUCAAAAGGUAUGUCAUUCUACUAGAUUCUUGUAGUAUAGUUGCUUCAUAUUAUGCUAGUUAGGAUGAAACCUUGGAAUAUUGAAUAUUUACAUGUAUAAUAGAGAAAACAUAGAUCCAAGGUUUAUAGGGUUGCAUGUACCAUAUGAGUGUUAGAAUGCUCAAAACCCUUCAGUGGUAUCAAAGACUAGGCUUGUUUUCAUUUAUACUUGAUGCAAAUUGCUGAAAAUCGAAGUUUAUAUGCUGUCUGGACACCUGACUCGCCGAUUCCAUUUAGGGACUCGACAAGUCCAUGCCUAAAUUCAUACAACUCGUCAAGUUGGUUCAUGCACUCGGCGAGUUGGACCCCCUGACAACAUAUCUUCGAAUUUUAAGGCUGGAAUUGGUCUAGAAUCAUUACCUGAAACUGUUUUGAACUUAUAAAACCUGUUUUUGAUGUGUUAAUGAUUAUGGUAAACCAAUUUCAAGGUUGUUAUCCAAAUUUCAUGUUUUAUGUGUGUUUAUGUAAUUUUUGAAAUUGUUGAUAUGAUUGUUCAUACACUUAUGAGUUUUGGUAGAUCGUAGGAAUUAUUUGCAAAUUGUUUGUUAGUUAAUUCUUGAUCUAAAUGUUUUUUAAUGGAGUCCAUAAUUUGUCCUCAAGUUAUGGAUUGCCAAAAGUCAUUUCUUUUAAAGAUACAUUAAAAUGCAUAGGUUACACAAUUGAAGAGUGUUUUUGUUUUAUGAAGACCAUAGCUUGUCCUCAAGUUAUGGAUGUUCAAGAGUAUCUUCAUUAAAGUUUUUAAAACCUUAAUUAAACUCAUAAGUUAUGAAAAUCCAAAAGUUUUUGAAUAGUUCAAAACUUGCCCUUAAGUUUUGGAAUUUUUAAAUUUUCCCCUCAUGAAUACUUUAAUUCCAAGUUAAACACUUAGAAUUUUAGAAGUUAAAAUUCCACCCUUAUACUAUUAUAAUUUUAAUNAGUCAGUCUUUCCGUUAGUAGGCCUCAUUCAUGAAACCGGUCUAUAAGGGGGGUAUAAGGUUACUUCCUAUAAAAUGGCAGUUUAAUGGGUGUCCACUCUCACCCACCGCUUCCUUGACUAGUGGAGGGUCGUUAGCCGAAUGGGUAGGAUAAGACUCUAAUUCUCCCUUCAUUAUAAGUAUAAUGAUAAAUAUAAAGUAAAAAAACCUUUUAUAAAUUCCCAAUCUUAGUUACUUUAGGAAAAUGUGAUUUUGGUGCUAACCCAUGAAAUUACACUUUGCACUUUGCUUAAGUCGAUAGUGGAGCGCGUGUGGUUAACUGACACACUAGCUUGGAUUUAACAAGGUAGACAAAGGGUAACUUAAUGUUUAUCAUAGGAUCGGUGGAGCGCGUGUGGUUAACCAACACAUCGAUUCAGUGAUAAAAAUUAAGAGUACCAAGUAUAUUUGCAUGGUUAUUCAUACCUUGUUUUGUGAUCCUCGACAUCCCAGUCAUAAAACUUGAGAGGGAACAAUUGAGAUUGAAACAUUACAUUGAAAAGUUCAAUGAAUCUCAAAAGAUCUAGGAGUUUCAAAUCCAAUUAAAACCUAAUAAAUUAUUUCGUUUUUCAUGGUGGAAAUUGGUGAAUCGUCAUUCGCCUACCUUCAAAUAUUUUAUAGCUUGGAUUACGACAUCCUUCUUCCAAGUUAUAAAAUAUUGUGUUGGGUCCUAGCCUUAAUAUUUCAUAUUGGGUGUUUUAUUAAGGACUUAAAUCAACUAACUUGAAUUUCUCCCAUUGUAGAUGUCUGGUUCAGACAACUAUGAUCUUCCUAAAUGUCUUGGAACAAGCUUUCCUAAUGAAGAUGAUUUUCUGUGGUUGGAUAAUGGAAAUCAUACUUCUCUUCCUCCACCUCCUUCAAUUAUUCUCCCUAUCCUACAAGUUCUUAAAUAGUUCAAUGUCACUCAAGCCCUAUUCACAUCUUGGAGAUGAAGUCACAUAUUGACAAGUCGGGCGAGUUGGGUGUCAAAGGCUUGAGGAAGUUGGUUGUUGACUAGGUUAUUUAAUCACUUUCUAUGUCACAUAGUGAGUUCUUUAAGGACUGCUAUGUAACAGACUAUGACAUGACCCUUAAUGAUCUUACCUAUUUGCUUGAUGCUGCUGAAUCAACAAUGAUUUGGAGCAUUGGUAAAGCAAAUUUGAUUGGAAGAUCUACUUCCCAAACUUCCAUGGACAUUGACAAUGGUAACAUUGGAAAUCUAGAAAAGAUUUCUCUACCCAAUGGAAAGGGAAUGGCCAUAGUCAAAUCGGUUGGCCAAAUGAUAAAGAGAAAGGCUAAGUCUGAGAUAGUCCCGUGUACCAUUCCCAAAUGGUCAAUAUGUUUCUAUUGCCAAUGGAAGGGGCAUUGGUUGUGAAGCUGCCUUGGCUACCUGAAAGAUCUGAGAGAUGGAAGAAUCAAAAAGUUUGACUCUGCUUUAGGUAAGUCCACUAUCUAACUCUGUUAAGUUCCUAAUUAAUGAUUCUUAAUACAAAAUGUGAAUCAGUUACAUUUUGAUGUUUGGCAGGAUCAAGCAAAGGGAAGGAAACUUAAAGGAAGAGUAUGCUAAAUCUGAUUGCGAAGAUGGAUUUCAAUCGCAUGGUUCGAAGAUCGGAUUCUUGAGCUACUACUUAGGAGUUAUGAUAGAUUGCCAGGACAUAUGUAAUAGCAUAGUUUUCAUUUAAAGUUGCAUUGUAAGGAAAAAGUUUUUUCCGCAUUUUAUAAAUAAAUAAAAUUUUGUUUUAUUUUAUUAUAUCUCCUUGCAAUGAAAUUUAUGAAAAAUUGAUGUUUGUAUGUUUAUAGCAAUAUUGGAAAUAUGAAUUCGAUUCUUUCAUUUGUGGUAGUGUCUAAAUCUACCAAAUAAGGAAAGAUUCUCAUCACCCAAGUUUCAAUUAGACCGAAACUUGGAAUCAUGCAAGUUGUAUAAUGAAUGAGAAUUUUCAUCUUUGGAAUAUGAAGACUAAUUCCUUGUUCACAUGUAUAUGUGAGUCAAGUCAAGGACUAAGGGAUCUAGUACACAUUCUUGUGCACUGGUCAAGUCCACCAUAAAAGAUCGAUAAGACUAUUCAUCAUGAUUUACUAAAGUUUAGUAAAUAUGGUUAUACUUACAAGUUUAAGUAUAAUUCUGAAGCAAUGGAAAAGUUUCGAUGUAUGGCAUAUCAAAUGAGAAGAAUCAAAUUUGGCAGAAAGAUAAAAGUUUCUCAAAUCUGAAAAGAUGGGAGAGUACUUUAGUAUCAUGUUUUAUGAUCAUGUUAAUGAUUAAGAAAUCAUAUCACAAUUAGUCCUCUAAGGACAUCUUAGUUCAUUCCUAUGACUAAGAAGAGGAAUCUUGAAUUGUUGAAAUGGUUAAAUCAAGAAGAUGAGUCAUACUUCAAUCCAAAACAAUUCUUAGAGUCAUACUCUAAGAUUGUAACUUGAGUGACAUAUCUUAAAGAAAGGUUUAUAACACUUGUCAAAUGUAAGAGUAAAAUGUGUUCUACUCUAGUACAUUUGAAAUUGGUAACUUGUGAUGUUUUGGAUAAAACAAAGACCAACUAAGGCCAAUUGUGUGAAGUGUUUGUCUUGAUAAAGAAUCCAUAAUAUCUCUUCAAUAUUUUUCUAUCAAGGAGUGGCUAUUGGCAAGAGAGUCUUAAAGAUCCUGAAAGAGUUUCAAGAUCUAAUCAAAAAUAAAACAUGUAGUUUAUCACUAGUACACGACUUGAGGUUUAUAACCUAUCGUGUUUAUUCCUAUUCCUGUGCCCAUUCUAGUUAAAGUUGGCUUUGUAUAUGAGUUCUGAGAGUUUUCAAUUGGUUGCAUAACAACUUGGAAGCAAUGGCAGGCCCUUGUGCUGCCAGGUGGCAAGAAGUUAAGACUGCACAAGUUCAAUCCAUAAGAGUUUGGAUUUGUCACUAACCUUGUCUUGUGAUUAUGGUUUUGACAAAUUCACAUGGAUAGGAACACAUACACCAUAAAAUCUAAGUGUCAUAAGGUUUCUCUCUGAUUCAUGAAAAUGAUGGUGAGGAAACGCUCUCACUAAGUAGAUUUUAAGUAGAUAGCAAUUAUGAUAUUUACAUUCUCAAAGUCGUUAAUGAAGCGUGUGUGGUUAACCGGCACACUAACAUGGACUUGUUAGAAAUGGAAAAGGUCUAAACAAUUAUGACUAUGUUAACGACAUCCCUUUUCGUAGUUCUAAAAUUGUUUAGACACACAUGUGUGCUAUCUUAGGAAAUAUGUAUGAUUUUGAUAAAGUUUUAUCAAAGCAUCUAGUAUUAGAAAUUUGAACUUUGGUAAGAAAGUCAAUAAAGUAUUGAUUUCUAGAAGUCCAGUUGAUUUCUGAGUACAUGUCAAAGCUAGUGGGAGCAUAAGUGUUAUGCUAAUAAUCAUCGUGUUAGUGGGAGCAUGAUAAUUAUAAUAAGUGUUGCAAGUUAGCAAUGUUAAUUAUAGAAAACAAAAGUUUCAAUUGGGAAAAAGUCAUUUUUCUAUAAUUAAGGAAGAGGAAAUUAUACUUCAUUUCAAAUCUAAAAGCUUAGAUCGUGAGAUUUUAAUCAAAUUUAGUCAAUUAUAUAUAUAAAUGUUAUGUUGGAAUGGUUCAACAUAAGUAAAUUCUAUAUAUGGGAACAUUAUUUGCGUUCUAAAAUUCGAUUAUGAUUNUAUAUAUAUAUAUAUAUAUAUAUGAAUGUUAUGUUGGAAUGGUUCAACAUAAGGAAAUUCUAUAUAUGGGAACAUUAUUUGCGUUCUAAAAUUCAAUUGUGAUUACGGCAUCCGUUUUCGUAAUCUAAAUUAUAAGAACAUGGCAAAUAGAAAAAGAAAUAUUAUAGCAAAAGACUAGUCUAGUAUCAUGUCUUUAUGUGAGACAUCAUGAAUCGUGUCUCAUAUGCUUCAGAUAUAGGAUCGAUUGCAUGUGCUAUAAUAUUCAUCUGUUCUAAAAUUUUCCAAAUGCUUAGGGAAUUAAGAGGGAAAAUGUACUAGAACUGGAUAUGACUAAUUUGAUUAAGCAAUUGUCGAGGACAAUCUAAGUUUUACCAAAGACUGGUUGCUCAGGGACAGUUAGAAGUAUGGUGCAAAUUUUUGGAGAUGACCAUAUUGACAUAUUCUGAAAAGAGGCAACUCUUGUUCAGAAGUGAUAGUCAAAAUAGGAAUAUGAAAAUGUUCCUAUAGUUGGAAGUUAUUCAUUAAAUCUGUGUAAUAUUUGGAAACUUAAUGCAAGAAGGAUGUUCAAAGCAAUGCACUUUGAACUUGAGACUUCGUUUCCAUGGAAUGAUCUCCAUUGGAAUACUCUGUAAUGUCUGUUGACAAGUCUUUGUGACUUUGUGCAUAGUCAUUACAGUAGGAUCAAUGCAUAUAAGUUUAGAAUCUGAUAGAUUUCGGUAAAUGGUAGGAAUUUAGAAUUCUUACAUUUAAGGGAAGGAUUUGGGAUUGUGAAAUGAGAAUCAUUGGAAUUAUGUUUAAUUGAUCUAUUCCAGAAAGUAAGGAUCAUAGAAAACCAUAGUGUGCAUACUUGGUGUAUGGCAUAACUAUAGUUUGGAUAAACUUAGUGUGCUUGCUUAGAGCAUAGCAUGACUAAUAUUUUGAUUCAAGUAUAAAGUUGAUGAUUUGAAACAUUAUGCAAUGAAUAAUGUGUAAUCAAUAUGGUGAUAAAUAAAAGGUGUUCUAUUUAUAUUCAUAAGUUCUGAGACCAUAUUAGAUUUGAAAAAAGUGUGUCAACAAUUAAGUUGGUGAGUUAAUAAGCGUUUUUGUAUAAGAAAUGUAUGCCUUUUUGUAUAAAGUAACUGAGUUCGUUUCAAGAAAAUCCAAUAUUUUGCAUAAAUGAAUAGUAGUUUUAAAAGUUCCAAAAACCGGAAUGAGUAAGUAUUUCCCAUACCAAAAAUAGUGUAGGUAGAUUUAUAUAUGUAUAUUUAACCACUAAGGCAUUUGAUAGCCCCGUAAACUGGAUGUUUUAAUACUUCAUAUGUGAGUUUUAUAACCGUACUAUUGACCCAGACUUCCUGUAACAACAUUCUUUAGGCGUUGGAAUGAUAUGACGUUUGUCACCCCAGAUCUGCCGGUCCAACUGUAGCUAAUAGUUUAGGUGCGAGAUUGUCAAUCCCGUAUAGAUCUAUACACAAGUAUCACGCUCUCACUACAGGAGAUUAUGAUUUAUAACAUAGGACUUGAAAUGCUUACUUGAAAGUACGUGAAGUAAAUGUCUCACAAAAGUUAGUAUCAAAUAGAUUUACGCAUGAAAAGUCCAUUUUUCUUGUAAAUAUAAGUAUAUCCUUUUUAUAGUGUUCAUAGAGUGUAAAAUAUCAUAAAUAUCUCGUAAACUAUACCUAUUAUAGUUUUUCAAAAGUGUGUUUCAUUUGAAUGAUAAACUUUGGAGAAUUACUAACUUUGCAUGUAAAGUAUAGCAUUCGUAAUAACGUUAUUUUACUUAUUUAACAUUUAUACAUAAAAUGUAGAUAAAGCAUUAGAGACUGUAUGUAACGAUUCGCAUUUUAACAUAAGUUUUUCUUGCGUUUCACUUGUAUUCCCCCCCUAAAAUAUAGUAAAAAUGUGAAAAUAUAAGGGUAUGAACUCACCUGGUAAGUGUGAUGAUUUGAAGAAAAUGAGAUUUUUCUCAGGCAGCACUUCGAUCGGAAAGCAGGAAAUUUCUCGGGAGUUUCGGACCUUCGGACCUUCAUCAGAGUUUGGAUACGUAAUUGGGGCGUCGGGGUAGUUUCGAGAGGCUCGAGAGUGUGAAAAUAUGGGAGAGAUGUUGUGAAUAAGCAAAGAAGUUCGGAAGCCUCACAUCCCAUUUUAUUGUUGUGGGAAUCGACCUCGUACGUUGGGCGUACUCGCGUAUGCGGGGUGUACGUCAUGCAUGACGUCUUCAUCGGAUACUGGACUUCGGAUGGGAUGGGAUUGAAGGUAGUAGGGAGACGUGGUCGAUCCGAGGCCUAGCAUUGAGUACGCCGGGUGUACCCUUGUACGCCAUAGCGUACCCCCUUGCUUUGUGUUCCUCAAUCUUCUAAAAUGCGUAACUUUUGCAUACAAGCUCCGUUUUUGACGUUCUUUAUAUCCACGCGUAGGUGAGAAUAUAAUCUACAACGUUCAUUUAGACUUUGUUGGCAAAUAUUGAAUUUAUUUUAAUUAUAUAUUUUUAAUAGGCCGAGACAGGAAAAGUCCGUAAAAAAUUCAUAACUUCUUCAUCCGAUGUCCGUUUUCGUCUGUCUUUUUACCGUUGUACUACUAUUGUAGAGAUAUUCAAUUCUCGUUUAGGUUGUGUCGGCUAAAUAUCGCUCAAUCUUUAUUUCGAGUUUUUAACUGUCUACUGCUAUUCCGAAACUUAGAAAAAUCACAGCUUCCUCAUACGAAGUCAGAUUUGGACAUUCUUUUUAUGUACGUUCAUGGUUUAACCUAAUCUAAGACUUUCAUUUAGAUUCCUAAGGCUAAAAAGUAUUUUAUUGAAAUUUCACUUUUCACACUUAACAGUGUUUUACCAAUUUUGACGCGGAUCUUGAUUGGUCUUAACUUCUUCAUUAUAACUCGGAUUUGAGUGUUCUUUAUAUUUCUGAAAACCUUGACACGAUAUCUAUCAUUUUAUGUAUCCCAAUUGAGACUUUUGAACAUUUCAUUUCUAGUCCUAUUUCUAUUUAUUUAUUAAUUCAAAAAUAGAUUACAAUACUUGACUUAGGUCAUUACAUUGACUUGAAAUAUCGGGUUGUCACAUCAUCCCCCCGUUAGAGAGAAUUUCGUUCCGAAAUUUAUUCUUAGAUAAGUAUUUAUGGACUAGGGAAAAGAUGUGGGUAUUUUUGUUUCAUCUGAUCUUUGUGCUCCCAGGUUUAUUUAGGUCCUCGCUUUGCAUUCCAGCGGACCUUCACAAUGGGUAUGCGACUUUGUUUUGUUCUUUUAAUUUCCAUAUCCAUGAUUUCUACUAGUUCUUCUACAAAGUGGAGACUCUCAUUGAUUUUGAUUUCGUCUUGAGGGACGACGAGGGUCUCAUCGAACAAGCACUUCUCUAAGUUUGACACAUGAAAGGUAGGAUGUACGUUAUUGAGUUCCUGCGGUAAUCGAAGCUUGUAUGCUAUCGGGACGAUCCUGGCAAGGAUCUCGAAUGGUCCGAUAUACCUUGGAUUUAGUUUCCCACGUUUUCCAAAACGUAUUAAUCCCUUCUGGGGAGAGACCUUCAAUAGCACUCGGUCCCCAACCUGAAAUUUCAAGGGCUUCCGUCUUUUAUCUGCAUAACUCUUUUGUCUGUCUCUUGAAGCUUUUAGUCGUUCCCAAAUUUGGACAAUCCUUUCGUUCAUUUCCCUUAUGAUUUUCAGGUGUGUGAGAGUGUUAUCAGGUACUUGUCCUUUAGCUAGUUGCGUAUCACCCACUUCAGCCCAACACAGAGGUGAUCUGCACUUGCGGCCAUAGAGGGCUUCGAAUGGCGGAACCUUGAUGCUAGUGUGAUAACUAUUGUUGUACGAGAACUCGACUAGCGGUAAAUGGGUAUCCCAUACUUUACCAAAAGCGAUCAUACAAGCUCUUAGCAUAAUUUCCAAAGUUUGAAUGGUCUUCUCAUUCUGACCAUCGGUUUGUGGAUGGUAAGAGAUACUCAUGUCUAGUCUCGUCCCUAGAGAUUUUUGUAGUGACUGCCAAAACCGUGAGGUGAAUCUACUAUCUCUGUUGGAGAUAAUGGAUAUUGGCACACCAUGCAGUCGCACAAUCUCCCUGAUGUAUGUUCGAGAUAGUUUCUCCAUCUUGUUAGUUUCCUUUAUUGGUAGGAAGUGCGCGGAUUUGGUCAAUCUGUCGACGAUCACCCAUAUGGUGUCAAGUCCACCCGCUGUUUUGGGUAACUUGGUUAUGAAAUCCAUGGUUAUCUUCUCCCACUUCCACUCGGGUAUUUCAGGUUGUUGUAACAAUCCCGAGGGCUUUUGGUAGUCUACUUUGACUUUGGCGCAAGUUAGAAACUUGCCUACAUAGGCAGCAAUUUUGGCUUUCAUGUUCGGCCACCAAUACAAUUUCUUGAGGUCCAGAUACGUCUUGUCUGAACUGGGAUGCACGGAGUAUCAAGUCUUAUGAGCCUCAUUCAUGAAAAUGUCUCUGAAUCCAUCAAACUUCGGUGUGUAGAUUCGAUUCAUGAAGUAACGCACUCCAUCACCCUUGAGUUCAAGAUUCUUAUCCAUUGCUCUUAAGGCUUUGCCAGCCACGUUUUCGGUUUUUGAGGCUUCCAUUUGAGCUUCCUUGAUUUUCAUGGAUAGGUGUGAAUGGAUCGUCAUGGUUAAGGAUUUCACUCAGCGGCCCGAGUAUUCCUUUCGACUGAGAGCAUCAGCUACUACAUCAGCUUUUCCCGGAUGAUAACAAAUCUCGUAUUCGUAAUCGCUCAGUAGUUCAAUCCAUCGUCUCUGUCUCAUGUUGAGUUCUUUUUGGUUGAGAAUGUGCUGAAGGCUCUUAUGAUCGGUGAAGAUUGUGCAUUUCAUGCCGUAGAGAUAGUCCCUCUAGAUCUUUAGGGCGAGAACGAAUGCUCCUAGUUUGAGGUCGUGGGUAGUGUAGUUGACUUCAUGCGUCUUGAGUUGUCUCGAGGCGUAUGCGAUGACCUUUACUCGUUGCAUUAGAACACAUCCAAGACCUUGGUUUGAUGCAUCGCAGCAGACCACAAAGUCUUCUGUUCCUUCUGGCAAAGAUAAUAUAGGUGUGCUGCAUAUGGCUUGUUUCAGUGUUUGGUAUGUAGUGUCUUGCUUUUCUCCCCAGUUGUAGGUUACACCCUUCUGAUUCAGGGCGGUAAGUGGUUUCGCAAUCUUUGAGAAGUUUUGUAUGAAUAUUCGGUAAUAGCCAGCAAGGCCCAAGAAUUGUCGGAUUUCAGUUGGAGUUAUUGGAGCCGAUCAGUUCUCAAUUGCCUUGAUUUUGGAAGGGUCCACGUGUAUCCCUUCUUUGCUGACCACAUGACCAAGGAAAUCUACUUUCCGAAUCCAAAAUUCUCACUUUGAUAAUUUUGCGUAUAACUUCUCUGCCCUUAAUGUUUCCAAGACCUACCGGAGGUGUUGACUAUGUUCUUCUUUACUCUUCAAAUAGAUGAGUAUAUCAUCUAUGAAAACGAUCACAAAUUUGUCCAGGAAAGAACAACAUGCUAGGUUCAUUAAGUCCAUGAACACCGCCGAUGCAUUUGUUAAUCCAAAGGGCAUCACUACAAACUCGUAGUGACCAUAACGAGUUCAGAAUGCCGUCUUGGGAACAUCUCCUUCCAGGACCCUCAGCUGAUGAUACCCAGACCUUAAAUCGACCUUUGAGAAGUAGCGUGCUCCUUGGAGUUGGUCGAAUAGAUCGUAUAUGUGCGGUAGAGGAUAUCAGUUCUUGAUUGUGAGCUUGUUUAGUUCUCGGUAGUCGAUGCACAUGCGCAAAUAUCCAUCCUUCUUCUUCACGAAUAGGACUGGUGCUCCCAAGGGUGAGAAGCUCGGCCUAAUAAAUCCUUUAUUGAGUACCUCGUUUAAUUGGCUAGAUAAUUCCUGCAUCUUUACCGGUGCUAGAUGGUACGAUGAUUUUGCUACUGGGGUAACUCCGGGAAUCAAGUUGAUUCUGAACUCGACUUGACGUUCUGGUGGAACUCCUGGAAGAUCUUCAGGGAAGACGUCGGGGAAAUCGCAGACUUCUGGAAUGUCUUUGAUAUUGUUUGUUUCUUUUUCCUUAUCUACUAUGUGGGCUAGGAAAGCAAGGUAUUCCUUGCGCAAGUAUUUUUGGGCUUUGACGCAAAAGAUGAUUUGUAAAUUGGUUCCGGGUUUGUCACCAUAAUUGAUAAGAGUUUCUCCAUUUGGCAGAUUAAGGCGAACGACCCUUUCAUGACAAAGUAUAUUGGCAUGGUGAAGGAUUAACCAAUCCAUACCGAUCAUGACAUCAAAGCUUCUUAUAGUGAUCGACAUUAGAUCGAUUUGGAACGAGUGUUCAUUUAAAUCUAGCAUGCAGCCUAUGUACAUAUUGUUUGUGCUUUCUGUUUUACCGUUUGCCAUUUAUAUUGUAAUAUCUUAUUAAGUGAUUGGGGGGUUUUGUUUAAGUAAGUGUUUGAAUUCAUGGCUCACGAAACUCCUCUCCGAACCACAAUUAAAGAGUAUGCAUGCAUAAGCGCUAUUGAGGAGAAACGUACCCGUAAUCACCGUGGGAUCAACUAUUGCUUCGUUCUGCCCUAUUGCCAGCACUCUUCAUACGCCGUCAGCAUUCCUUGCCUUAUGGAAAUCUCUCUUGUAGUGCCCAGCUUCACCACACCCAUAACACGCCUGGCCCACACCGACUCCAGGAACUUGGGUGAUUGGACGUGUCGGUGUCUUGCAGAAACGGGCAGUGUGCCCUUUCUUGUUGCAAUUAUUACAGUGCAUCUCCUGGCAGUUUCCGUUGUGAUGGAAAUUGAAUUUUCCAUACUUUGGUAUGUUUCCAGCAUAUUAGUUUGCUAGUGUAGGGGUAACUGGAACAAUAGUGGAAGCAGUAGCGGCAUGAACCGCCACUAUCUGCUGUUUCUUGGAAGGUUCUUGCAAAGAUUGACCCUUCCUCUUGUUCCAAAACUUCUUGUUGUUGUUGUUGUUGUUGUUGUUGUUGUUGUUGUUGUUGUUGUUGUUGUUGGUAUUGUUAUUGUUGUCGUUGCUUUCUAUGGGUUGCUUCGAAAUAGCAGUCAUGAAUCCUUGGCGGACACCAUAGUCAACGAGGGACUGUGCCAGCUGUUUGGCACUAUCGAAAGUAACUGGCUUGGAAGCUAGUACACUUCCUUGAAUCUGGGGUGACAGUCCCCAGAUAUACCUCUCGAUCUUCUUGCUCUCUAGAGAAACCAUUCCUUAGCAAAGUAUUUCUAUGUCACUAAACCUAUUGGUAUAGGUCGUGAUGUCCGAGUCUACCAUAGUAAGGCCCCAAAGCUCUUGCUCGAGCUUUUGUACUUCACCUCUUGGACAGUACUCAUGCAUGCACAUUUGCUUCUGGUUUUCCCAUCCCAUGGAGUUAGCCACUACCAGAUUUUGUGACUUGACGUGGCUAUUCCAGCAUGUUAGGGCUCGUUCGGAGAAAGUACAGGCAACAAAUUUUACUUUGCUCCCUUCUUAGCAUGAGCAGAUCUCGAAUACUGCUACCAUUUUCUCUAUCCAUUGGGAUAGAGCCAUAACUCCUCUAGUCCCAUUAAAGGAUAUGGGUUUGCUAUUAGUAAAGUCCUUGUAAGUGCAUUCCCCGGAACGACCCUGGUGUUGGCCAUUGGUAGAGCUAUUUAUUCCUCCUCCCGACCCGUUGUUACUCAUUUGUUCCAUCGCUGCUGUUACGACAACCUGAAAGACAACAUUGUCCAUUGAUAGGGGUGGUGGUGGAGGAGGUGGUGGUCUUCCUGUAGUAUUGAUGCGUUGCGGAUUCCUUCUUGGCGGCAUGAUUCUGCCAUAAGUUAAAAGACGAAUUCUUGAUAAGUCUUCAAAAAUGGUUAUGGAAAGUCUUAGUAUUAUAUGCUUUACGUUCCGAACAUUACCAAAUUUUGUAAGUUAAUCGUGAAAUGGAAACUUACGACAAUAAGUACAUGAUUUCCUUAGUAUUUUAAGAACUUAAUGAAAUACCCAAUGAAAUAAUAAAUGCGUGUCAAUAGCAUUGAUAUUAAUAUUCGAUACAUCGAUCAGGAAAAUUUGACCUUAACACAGGUCUAGAGUAUAUCAAUGAAAAUGGGAAAAUUUGACCGCAUUCAGACCCUCGAACCACAAUCCACCAGGUUCACAUACAUAAAGGAAAGAGUAGCACCAACGCUCACUCGAUAAGUCUAUACAUAGUGCAAGAAGUAUGCGCUCUACUCCGAGCGGGUGGUAUGCUGAGGACCAUGGUAUGUUUUGAUGGAAGUUUCAGCUCGAGUUACUUGACGUUCAGCCUCGAUGACACGUCUCUCCAUUACGGAUUGGUUUCUCCGGAACUCGAUCACCUCGACUCUAGCAGUGGUAAUGUCUUUCUGAAGGGAAAAUGUGUGUUCUAUUGUUUGAUCAUGUUCUUUGUCCAGGCGAUGAAGACAUACUUCAGUGAUUUGAGUAGUGGCACCAACGUCCAUGAUUUGGUUGUCGUUGACCUUUGUUUGCUAGCCUUGGUUGGCGAUGCGACAAACCAUGAUAGGGAGUGCUCUGUUAGCAGAACCUCUGUUACUGCAGUUAUAAAAACCUUGUCUUAUGCCGUAGGGUGGGCAUUUUCCUUGUUCCCUGCUCCAUCGUUUAAGAUCUACAGCCCAGCGGGGGGCCGGGACCUAAAAGUUCCGUCGGAGAUUUGGUACUACGUAGGGAGGAUUAUAGACCUCGGGUUCUGAGUCAGUGCCCUCAUCACCUGCUUCCUCUUCUUCCUCUUCCUCUUCUAGAUAUUCCUCGGGAAUCUCUUCGGGAUCCUCUUCUGGAUCCUCCUCGACCCAACCUCCAUUGCCCUGGUUUGGGUAGUAGGGAUCCCCAAGGAUAUGAAAUCCUGCCAUUUCGUCUGAUCGAGAAUAGAUAUAAGAGAAUUAUAUAUAGAAUUUGAGUGUAAAGAGAAAAUUUUAUGAUAAGAUCUACACUGAGUCCUUGUUGGAUUAGUGUCUAAGCCCGUAACUAUAUUUGGUAGGUACUUGACCCGGUUGUGCAUGGUCCUUUUGGGUUACCUUCACCAUAGCAACUUGAUAGGGUAAUUUAUGGAGAUAGAGAGGUUAUUGUGGUUUAUUAAUAUGUUCUAAGAAUAAUAUAUUAAAGGAGAAAUCAUGUUAUUUGAUUAAUAUUAGUCAUAGAUCAAUUAGGAAUUAAUUUGGUGACUAAAAGAGAUUAAUUGAAGAAAGGGGAAUUAAAAUGCCAAUUGUGUGAUAGUUGUAUUUUGGGCUGGGAAACCCAAUAGAUUAAGGGAUGAACGAAAUUAUGAUGGGAGCCCAUCAUAUUUUUGUGCAUGGCCUUAUUCCAAAAGGUUCCAUGGGCUGCUUAAUGUUUAAGCUGUCCAUUAGGGAUUUGACUAAAACCCUAGUUGCUCACAGUAUAAAUAAGACCCCUAGACUAUAGAAAUCGGCCACUGCUUCUAUAAGAAACCUAGAGCCGAUUUUGUGUGCCUCCUCCCUCUCUCAUAUACUACCCUCUUGCUAUUUGGUGUUUGUAAGCCAUUAGAGGAGUUACACUUGUGACUCUAAGCAUCAAAGACAAGAAGAUUCAAGCAAGCAACAAGAGGUAAUCUUCUAGAUUUGUUUUGGUCAUUAUAAUUUUGAAUUAUUAUCACUAGAUCUAGGGUUAGAAAGUCUUGGAUGAAUGCAUGUACAAUAGAGAAACCUAGAUCCGAGCAUUAGGGUUUGCGUGUGCACAUAGGAAUGUUCUUGUGGAUCAAACCUAUCAGUGGUAUCAGAGCUUUGUCUGGUUUCAAUUGUAUUUGAUGCUAUAUGUUUUGAUCUUGCUUGGAAAAUCGUUUUUUGUGCAAUCUGCUUGACUGACUCAGUGAGUCCUAUUGUGGACUCGAUGAGUAGGAUGAACUCGACAAGUGCAUAAGGGGACUCGGCGAGUCGAAGCGUCAGACAGAGGGAUUUUCGGGAUUUAUUGCUAUUUUGAUGAAGGAUAAUUGCUAAAAUCGUUUUCUUAUAAUAAAAUCCGAAUUUUAUUUUUUGUAUGUGAUUCUCCUUACCAAAACAAAAGAUAAUUUCUAAUUAUUUGAAUAAUAAUUUCCUUAUAUGAUAAAAGUUGAUUAUUAAAAUUAUUUUGGUAAAUUAUCUUGUAAAUAAUCUUGAUUAGGUCAAAUUUAGAUAAUCAUUAAAUUAAUUGUUUAAUUUAAAUUAUUUGCUAUUUGAUCCUUGUGUUUUGAAAAGUUCAAAACUUUUCCUUAAGUUUUGAAAUUUAAAUUUAAGAUUAAAAUGUUUAAUUUGAACUAUUUAAAUUUCAAACCCUAGAAUUUUACAAGUUUAAAAUUCAACCCUAUACUUUAUAAUAUUAUAAGAUUAAUAUAUAUAUAUAUAUANNNNNNNNNNNNNNNNNNNNNNNNUAUAUAUGUAUAACUUAAAAUGCUAGUCUUACCGUUAGUAGACCUAAUUUACAAAGCCGAUCUAUUAGAGGGGUAUAAGGUUAUGGCCUAUAAAUUGGGCGUUUAAUGGGUGUCCACUCUCACCCACUACUUCAUUGAUUGGUGGAGGGUCGUUAGCCGAACAGGUAGGAUAGGGCAACCCUUUCUCAUUAAUAAGUAUAAUGAAUUAUUAAAGUAACUAAAUGUUUUUACAAAAAUUCUCAAUCUUAGUUACUUUAGGGAAAAGUGAAUUGAUGCAAUUCCAUGAAAUUACACUUUGUACCGUUGAUAAGACGUUAAUGGAGCGUGUGUGGUUAACCAGCACACUAAUUGGGCUCUAAGCAAAGGUGGAAAAGGGUGACUCAUUGUUUGUCAUAGUUCGAUGGAAUGUUUGUGGUUAACCGACACAUCGAAUAGGUGACUGUAACAAUAAGGGCACCAUGUAUAUUUUCAUAGUUAUUCACACCCACUUUGUGAUCCUCAGCAUCCCAGUCACAAACUAGGGAGCAUAUCGAGAUUUAAACAUGUAAUUGAAAAGUUCAAUGAAUCUCAAAAGAUCUAGGAGUUUUCAAUAUAUUUAAAACUUAAUCUUGUUUUCGUUUUACAUGAUGGAGAAUUAGUGAAUCGUCAUUCACUUACCUUCAAAUUAUUUACUUGUUAGAUUAGAACAUCCCUUUUCUAGUAUGUAAAUAAUGUUGUUGGAUCCUAACCCUAAUUUCUCAUUUGGGUGUUUAAUUUGGGAUUCAUUUCUAAUCAAACUUUGUCGAACAUGAACAACAACAACGCUUCCAGCUCGAGUUCCCCCGACUCAUUCUCACUCAUGAACUUGUGUGGGAGGGUGAUAUUCGACUGAAACAAUUUCAACGAUUGGAUCCAUAACAUAAGAAUGGUCACCCGUUAUAAGGAUAAAGAGUAUGUCCUUGAUAAGGAGCUGAAGGAGAUUGGCAUGAACACUGCCACUCCCGAAGAGAUCGGUACCUUUGAGGCCCACAAGCGUGAUGCCAUGAAAGUCCAUUGCAUCAUGCUAGUGACCAUGACUUCCGAACUCCAAAAGUCCUAUGAGGACAUGUAUCCAUACGAAAAGCAUCAAGACUUGCUGGACCGGUACCACCAAAGCGCAAGGAAAGAGAGGUAUGAGAUCAUUACUUCGAUGAUCACUACCCGAAUGGGUAGUGGAGAGUCCCUUACCGCUCAUCUGUAAAAGAUGCAAAGAUAUGUUGAUCGUUUGCUAAAGUUGAAUUUUAACUUUAAUGAAGAGCUGGCAAUUGACAUCAUCCUUCCCCCCCUGCCUCCCUGCUACAACCAGUUCCGCAUGACCUACCAUAUGAAUAAGGAAGAGGUCACCUUGAGCAAGCUUCAAGGCUUGCUUAGGACUGCUGAGAGCAAUGUCAAGGAUAAGUCUAUUGCAUCAACUCCCGCUCCAACUCUUGCCCCUGUUUUAGCUAUAGGGCAAGGGAAGGGUAAGAUGGGGAAGGCUCCCUCAAAGAGCCACCACAAGGGAAAGUCCCAAUAUGGCACCUCUUCUAGUGGAACCAAAGUUGGUUCUGCUAAACCCAACUCAAACCCCAAAGAGGAAGAGUGCCACCACUGCCACAAAAUAGGGCUUUGGAAGAGAAGAUGCCCAGAAUAUCUGUAGACAAUCAAGGAUGGAAAGAUCAAGCCAUCCUAUGCAGGUAUUUACACAAUUAGAUCUAAUGAUUCAUCACAUUCCAUUUCUUGGGUACUUGAUACAGGAUGUGGUUUACACAUUUGUUCUUAUUUGCAUGGCCUAAGAAGAGAUAGGGAUGUGGAGCAUGGGAAGAUUAAUUUGAUCAUGGCGAAAAUAAGAUUGUCGCCUGUUACCAAGAUCAGAGUUAGUGGAUUAGGAUUAGAUUUAAACAAUUAUUGCUAUUCGUUAGAUAUGGCAAGAAACAUCAUUUCAUUUCAUGGUUUAUAUAGACAAGGUUUUAGAUAUUCAUUUGAUAAUGAAAAAGGUUCUGUUAAUGCUUAUCUUAAUGAUGUAUUUUAUUUUGAAGCAUUGCCUUGUAAUGGAAUAUAUGAAACUGUGAUGGUUAUAGAUAACUUAGGAAAUGAUGUUAUGUGUAUUGAUUCAUCCAAUGCUUUGGAUAAAACAUGCUUGUGGCAUUGUUGUCUUGGACAUGUCAACAAGAAACGCAUAGCCCAACUCCAAAAGGAUGGAGUGUUGGAGUCAUUUGACCUUAGGGAUGAUGACAUGUGCGAGUCUUGUUUGCUUGGAAAGAUGACCAAGUCACCCUUCACUGGCACUUGUGAAAAGGGCAAGGGUCUAUUGGAUCUCAUACACACUGAUGUGUGUGGGCCCUUUAAAUCAACCACAAGGGAUGCGAGUCGCUUCUACGUGACUUUUACCGAUGAUUAUAGUAGAUAUGAGUAUAUCUACUUAAUCAAGCAUAAGUCAUAAACCUUUGAAAAGUUCAAAGAGUUUAAACAAGAAGUGGAGAAUUAGUUGGGCAGGAAAAUCAAAAUGCUUCGAUCUGAUCGAGGAGGAGAGUACCUAAGUUUUGAAUUCCAUGACUAUCUCAAGGAACGCGGAAUCGUUUCACAAUUGACGCCACCUAGGACACCGCAGUUGAACGGUGUGGCUGAGAGGUGUAAUCGAACCUUGUUAGACAUGGUUCGUUCCAUGAUGAGUCGUGCUUCACUACCUGUCUCAUUCUGGGGGUAUGCCUUAGAGACUACCGCCUAUAUCCUUAAAUUAGUCCCCACGAAGAAGGUUGCCAAAACACCUCACGAGAUGUGGACAAGGAAGGCUCCCUCGUUGGCACAUAUCAAGGUUUGGGGUUGCGAGACUUUCAUAAGACGAGAGACUCACAAAAAGCUCGAACCUCGUAGUGAGCGGUGUAUUUUCAUCGGCUAUCCACAUAAGUCCUUUGGAUAUCUCNCGUUGCGAGAAGAGAGGUUUUCCGAGAGCGAGAACUCAUAAGCCAAGGGGACAGUGGGAGGCAAAUCAAUAUUGAAGAGAUUCAAGAGUCGAGCGAUGAAGGAACCUCUAACACUGGCUCUCAACUCGAGGAGGAAACUCCUGUUGAACCAAUUGACAAGUCCUUACCUCUUAGAUGUUCCGAUAGAGUUAGGGUUCAAACCCAGUUUUAUGGUUUUCAUAUUACUAUCGAAGGGGAUACGUUCAUUAGUGACAGUACACUAGUGAAUCUGGACGAACCUAACAGCUAUAAGGAAGCCAUGGUAGGCCCGGAGUCUGCAAAGUGGAAAGAGGUGAUGGAUAGCAAGAUUCAGUCCAUGUAUGACAACCAAGUUUGGAAUUUGGUUGACCAUGUGCCCGGACGUAAGACGGUCGGGUGCAAGUUGAUCUUCAAGAAGAAGACCGAAAUGGAUGGGAAUGUGCACACAUACAAGGCGCGAUUGGUCGUGAAGGGUUUCAAUCAAACUCUCGGAGUUGAUUAUGAUGAAACCUUCUCACCGGUUGCUAAGAUAAAAUCUAUUAGGGUGAUGCUGGCCAUUGAUGUAUUUCAUGAUUAUUAAAUAUGGCAGAUGGAUGUCAAAGCCGCUUUCCUUAAUGGGAAGUUGGCUGAGGAUGUUUAAAUGGCUCAGCCAAAGGGUUUUGUCAAUUCAAAGCAUCCCAAUAGAGUGUGUAAGCUUGAGAAGUCCAUUUAUGGACUUAAGCAAGCGUCCGUAGAUGGAAUCUUUGUUUCGAUGAGAAAGUCAAAGAGUUUGGUUUUCUGCGAAUCAAAGAUGAAUCAUGUGUAUAUGUCAAAGCCGGUGGGAGUAUAUUAAGCUUCCUCGUAUUGUAUGUCGAUGACAUACUACUCCUAGGAAACGACAUCCCGAUACUACAGGAGGUUAAGUCCUUGCUCGGGAAGUGCUUCGCUAUGAAGGACCUCGGAGAGGCUUCCUAUAUUUUGGGAAUAAGGAUAGUGAGAGAUAGAAGUAAGAGACUAAUAGGACUUAGUCAGAAUACUUACUUGGACAAGGUACUAAAACAUUUCA